rnacentral:sRNA from 17 species
GUUGAGGGUGCGUGCUGCACAAUAUUAUUUAAGUUAAAAAGUAAAACCCCCGUUCCUUACCAGUUCGGGGGUUUUACUUU